rnacentral:rRNA from 1 species
GUAGGGUGCGAGCGUUGUCCGGAAUUACUGGGCGUAAAGAGCUCGUAGGUGGUUUGUUGCGUCGUCUGUGAAAUUCCGGGGCUUAACUUCGGGGUGGCAGGCGAUACGGGCAUAACUAGAGUGCUGUAGGGGAGACUGGAAUUCCUGGUGUAGCGGUGGAAUGCGCAGAUAUCAGGAGGAACACCGAUGGCGAAGGCAGGUCUCUGGGCAGUAACUGACGCUGAGGAGCGAAAGCAUGGGGAGCGAACAGGAUUAGAUACCCUGGUAGUCCAUGCUGUAAACGGUGGGCGUUAGGUGUGGGGACCGGUUUGGUUUCUGUGCCGUAGCUAACGCAUUAAGCGCCCCGCCUGGGGAGUACGGCCGCAAGGCUA